AAAAGUUCGUUCAGGUUUCUCAGUAGGAUGUUAUGGAAAAACAAGAAAGAACUUUU
ensembl:miRNA